GAUGAGGACCAAAGAUUCAAUGAUGAUGAACUGGAAAUUAUACAUAUAGAUCUGAACUCACCAAGACACAAAAAUAAAGAUAAAAACUACAAGAAGCAGUGCUCUCCGUUGAAGAAAAAAGAAAAAAAGAAACCAGAUGUAGGAGUUGCUUCUGGGAAACUUGCUCAGCAUCGAGAAACUGAAGAGAAAGAAAUACCUUUGAUAGAUCACACCUGCCGAGAAUCUUCUUCAUCCAAUAGUAAGAUCAAAAACCAUGAUCUUCUGGUGGACCUGACACCAGAAAAUGGAUCAGAAGACUUUUCGCUGUUCCAGACUGCCCUAGGUACACAACCAACAAAGUAAGAAAUGCUAACUUUCAUCUCUUCCUUCCAUGACUUG